GGGCGAGACAGGUGGUUGACAGAGGAAUGCCAUGGUGGAGGAGCACCAUGAAGGAACUGUCAGCAUGGUGGGGAAGAGGUAUUGAGCACUUGUUGUGUACUGGGCACUGGGGUGGAGGAAUCAGGCCACGGAUACCCUGUGACGUGCUCCAGCCUUCAAGGACUUCAUUGGUGCCGUGACAAUCGCUUCUCAUGACUUCCUUCUCAAAUGCCUGAGUGUGUUCACUUCCUGUCAGAGCCGGCAGCUAGCUGAUGCAGCCCGAUUUAGGAUUGCAUCAGCCUUCACUCUCCACUAACACUAUGAUCAGGGGAUGUUUUGACAUAGGUUCAGUGUCUUGGCUUUUUUAGUAACUGGGUUGUAUUGCAGGACAGCAAAACACUGCAAUAUAGCCUGGCAUUCAAAUGUGCCAAGUUCACCUCUGCAAAUAAACAUCUGUAAAGGUACUUUGGGGAAGGGGGAUGGAAGUGUGAUGGUUAGUGGGGGGAUUGGGGUGGGGUAGAAUCCAGAGGGGAGGGAAAGGUCUUCCUUGGUCCACAGUGUUCUGUGUACGGUGCAUUAUGCAGGCUGAUGAAUGAAGUAAAUCCAGUGUUGAAACCCCAUUCUCUUAUGUCACAUCGCUGGGAACCAUCUCUGCUCAGCAGCAAGGUGAGAGAGGAAGCAGCUUCUCCGGGAACUGAAGGCCUGACUGGCUGCAUCUCUCUCGGCCUUGGACCAGUGACACUAAGACCCCUGUGUGUCUCCCUGAUGACAGUGAGAACUGCAUUUGAGGGGGUUCCCAGGUUCAGGGAUAUCCCAACCUAAGUUUCAAAUAGAAGAGUUGUGUUCAUCCUCAUUUUAUUUCAGAAGCUGUUCUUAGUGGAGGGUUGGACAAUCUCCAGUCACUGAUGAGUGCUGAAGGUUCCAGAGCUCUGUUCUGAGUUUGGCUGCAGUUGGCCCAUGUUCUUCUGUGCCAAUGGUGCCGCCUCCUGUUUCUUUGUGAACCUGUGAGAAUAAUUCACAAGGUGAGAGCCC
rnacentral:lncRNA from 1 species